GACGAACGCUGGCGGCGUGCCUAAUACAUGCAAGUAGAACGCUGAAGGAGGAGCUUGCUUCUCCGGAUGAGUUGCGAACGGGUGAGUAACGCGUAGGUAACCUGCCUGGUAGCGGGGGAUAACUAUUGGAAACGAUAGCUAAUACCGCAUAAGAGUAGAUGUCGCAUGACAUUUGCUUAAAAGGUGCAACUGCACCACUACCAGAUGGACCUGCGUUGUAUUAGCUAGUUGGUGAGGUAACGGCUCACCAAGGCAACGAUCCAUAGCCGACCUGAGAGGGGGGUCGGCCCACCUGGGACCGGGGCACGGCCCAGACCCCUACGGGGGGCAGCCGUAGGGAAACUUUGGCAACGGACGGAAGGCUGACCGGAUCACGCCGCGUGAGUGAAGAAGGUUUUCGGGACGGAAAGACCUGUUGAAAGAGAAGAAAGAGUGUGAGAGUGGAAAGUUCACACUGUGACGGUAUCUUACCAGAAAGGCACGGCUAACUACGUG
rnacentral:rRNA from 1 species